UCCCUGAUAGCUCAAUUGGCAGAGCAGCCGGCUGUUAACCGGCAGGUUAUUGGUUCGAGUCCAAUUCAGGGAGC
rnacentral:tRNA from 1 species